rnacentral:rRNA from 1 species
UGGCUCAGGACGAACGCUGGCGGCGUGCUUAACACAUGCAAGUCGAACGGAAAGGCCCUGCUUUUGUGGGGUGCUCGAGUGGCGAACGGGUGAGUAACACGUGAGUAACCUGCCCUUGACUUUGGGAUAGCUUCAGGAAACUGGGGCUAAUACCGGAUAGGAGCUCCUGCUGCAUGGUGGGGGUUGGAAAGUUUCGGCGGUUGGGGAUGGACUCGCGGCUUAUCAGCUUGUUGGUGGGGUAGUGGCUUACCAAGGCUUUGACGGGUAGCCGGCCUGAGAGGGUGACCGGCCACAUUGGGACUGAGAUACGGCCCAGACUCCUACGGGAGGCAGCAGUGGGGAAUAUUGCACAAUGGGCGGAAGCCUGAUGCAGCAACGCCGCGUGCGGGAUGACGGCCUUCGGGUUGUAAACCGCUUUCGCCUGUGACGAAGCGUGAGUGACGGUAAUGGGUAAAGAAGCACCGGCUAACUACGUGCCAGCAGCCGCGGUGAUACGUAGGGUGCGAGCGUUGUCCGGAUUUAUUGGGCGUAAAGGGCUCGUAGGUGGUUGAUCGCGUCGGAAGUGUAAUCUUGGGGCUUAACCCUGAGCGUGCUUUCGAUACGGGUUGACUUGAGGAANGUAGGGGAGAAUGGAAUUCCUGGUGGAGCGGUGGAAUGCGCAGAUAUCAGGAGGAACACCAGUGGCGAAGCGGUUCUCUGGGCCUUUCCUGACGCUAAGAGCGAAAGCGUGGGAGCGAACAGGCUUAGAUACCCUGGUAGUCCACGCUGUAAACGGUGGGUACUAGGUGUGGGGUCCAUUCCACGGGUUCCGUGCCGUAGCUAACGCUUUAAGUACCCCGCCUGGGGAGUACGGCCGCAAGGCUAAAACUCAAAGGAAUUGACGGGGCCCCGCACAAGCGGCGGAGCAUGCGGAUUAAUUCGAUGCAACGCGUAGAACCUUACCUGGGUUUGACAUGGAUCGGGAGUGCUCAGAGAUGGGUGUGCCUCUUUUGGGGUCGGUUCACAGGUGGUGCAUGGCUGUCGUCAGCUCGUGUCGUGAGAUGUUGGGUUAAGUCCCGCAACGAGCGCAACCCUUGUUCACUGUUGCCAGCACGUUAUGGUGGGGACUCAGUGGAGACCGCCGGGGUCAACUCGGAGGAAGGUGGGGAUGACGUCAAGUCAUCAUGCCCCUUAUGUCCAGGGCUUCACGCAUGCUACAAUGGCUGGUACAGAGAGUGGCGAGCCUGUGAGGGUGAGCGAAUCUCGGAAAGCCGGUCUCAGUUCGGAUUGGGGUCUGCAACUCGACCUCAUGAAGUCGGAGUCGCUAGUAAUCGCAGAUCAGCAACGCUGCGGUGAAUACGUUCCCGGGGCUUGUACACACCGCCCGUCAAGUCAUGAAAGUUGGUAACACCCGAAGCCGGUGGCCUAACCGUUGUGGGGGAGCCGUCGAAGGUGGGACUGGUGAUUAGGACUAAGUCGUAACAAGGUAGCC